rnacentral:rRNA from 1 species
UCAGGCCUAACACAUGCAAGUCGAGCGGUAACAUUUCAAAAGCUUGCUUUUGAAGAUGACGAGCGGCGGACGGGUGAGUAAUGCCUGGGAAUUUGCCCAUUUGUGGGGGAUAACAGUUGGAAACGACUGCUAAUACCGCAUACGCCCUACGGGGGAAAGCAGGGGACCUUCGGGCCUUGCGCUGAUGGAUAAGCCCAGGUGGGAUUAGCUAGUAGGUGAGGUAAAGGCUCACCUAGGCGACGAUCCCUAGCUGGUCUGAGAGGAUGAUCAGCCACACUGGGACUGAGACACGGCCCAGACUCCUACGGGAGGCAGCAGUGGGGAAUAUUGCACAAUGGGGGAAACCCUGAUGCAGCCAUGCCGCGUGUGUGAAGAAGGCCUUCGGGUUGUAAAGCACUUUCAGCGAGGAGGAAAGGGUGUAAGUUAAUACCUUACAUCUGUGACGUUACUCGCAGAAGAAGCACCGGCUAACUCCGUGCCAGCAGCCGCGGUAAUACGGAGGGUGCGAGCGUUAAUCGGAAUUACUGGGCGUAAAGCGUGCGCAGGCGGUUUGUUAAGCGAGAUGUGAAAGCCCCGGGCUCAACCUGGGAACCGCAUUUCGAACUGGCAAACUAGAGUCUUGUAGAGGGGGGUAGAAUUCCAGGUGUAGC